CGGACCAGGCUUAAGUUUCAUACAAAGUCUGGUGAGUGGACGCCAUUAUUGUAACCAUUUGACAGAAAAGGAAACAGGGCUCAGAGAAGCCACAUGCCAAGGGUCACGAGGGAAGUAAGUGACACAAGCAAGGCUUCGGGGCUGGGGAUGUAGCUCAGUGGCACCGCCCUGCCUCACAAGCGCAAGGUCCUGAGUUCGAUCCCCGGUACUGGAAAGAAAAUGACUUCAGAUCCAGUGAUGCCUGUCAUACCCCAAGGACUGCAGAGUGUUUCACCCUGUGGAUGUUCGAAAAUUUACUUUUAAUCUCCUGUUGUUGGGUAACUAGGUUAUUUCUGGUUUGUUUGUUUUAACAGAGAUAGUGCCCUAACAUAUUUCUUUGUCUACACAGGUCCCAAACUAUUUUUUUUUAACUAAACUAAAAUGGACCAAGGUAUGUCAUUUAGGGCUGGUGUGAACCAUUUCAGUAGCAGUCAGUGGUUUAUAUUCUUGGAAAGCUGAGAGGGAUGCACAUCUCGCUUUGGGGACAGCUUGAUCCAGCAGCUCAAAGACAUCAAGGGCUCGGGUCCUUUCCAACUUGCUGCUUUGCUUUCUUCCACUGACGCCUGCAUCCUUUCCUCUUCUGGCUUCAUAUGGAAAUUCACAUGAAACAAAGUGGCUGCCUUGAUUCCUGACAUCACAUUCUCAUCCCACACCAUCUCUUUUUAAGACAGCAGGGAAGUUUCUCUUUCUCAGAAAAUGAUUCCUAAAGUCCCACAGUGGACAGAGAGAAAGGGAAGCUCUGAUUGGCUUUUACCAGUCUAGACCUGUCCCAGAGUCAGUUCCCCCAAAUGUCACAGCUGAGACUGAGGCAGGGUGGCUGUGCCAGUCUAUUGCUGCCUAACAAACUUCCAAAACCUAAUGGGCUUUGAAAACAACAAUUACCCCACCAGGAUGCUGUGGCUGUGACACAGGCGGCCAGGCCGGGGCUCAGGGCAGUGACGUCCAGCACUGAGGAAGCCAGCCAGGUCCGCAGUCUGGAAGCCACGGUGACAGCACCCGGGCCCCUGUGGUCAGCACCCAGCCGUGAUGUCACAGUGAGUGCCCCGUGGACACUGGGACAGGAGGCCUGGUGGGGUCCAGGCAGUGGUGGUGCUCACUGUGCCGUCGCCAGGCCUGGGGCUGUGGGGGCCCUGGCUGCACUCCGCACCACCAGGCCAAGAGCCGAGAGCCAAGCAGGUCGCCUCUGCACAGGCUGCCCGGGCUGCUCCUCUCGGGUGCCGGCUCCCAGUUACUGUGGACGUCUCCCAUCACCGCCAUGGCCGGAUCCCACACUCGGCUGUCCAGCUGUUGAUUUCCGGGGUCUCUCCGUGGGCCCGCACGCGUGGUGGGGCAAGGGGCUGAGGUGAGCAUUGCCCUGGGGAGGAGUCCGGGCCACCUCAGGGUGGGUGCUUCAGAAGCAGGGCUGGUCUUGGCCCAGUCCCGCUCUGGCUCCACCACGGCUCGGGGCUCUCUCGGGUGUGCGUGGGAGUCUGCACUGUCUCCUCUGGGCACAAGUGGCGAGGGGCGGCCAGGGGCACCAUUCCUGGCACUGGGGAGUGAAG
rnacentral:lncRNA from 1 species